UACGGAGGAUCCGAGCGUUAUCCGGAUUUAUUGGGUUUAAAGGGUGCGUAGGCGGUUUGAUAAGUUAGAGGUGAAAUGUCGGGGCUCAACCCCGAAACUGCCUCUAAUACUGUUGGACUAGAGAAUAGUUGCGGCAGGCGGAAUGUAUGGUGUAGCGGUGAAAUGCUUAGAGACCAUACAGAACACCGAUUGCGAAGGCAGCUUACCAAACUAUAUCUGACGUUGAGGCACGAAAGCGUGGGUAGCAAACAGG
rnacentral:rRNA from 1 species